GGGGGGGGGGGGGGGGGGGGGGGGGGGGUGGGGGGGGGGGGGGGGGGGGGGGCGUGGGUGGGGUGGUCGGGUGGCGGACGGGGGAGUGGGACGUGAGGGGCCUGCGCUUGCCGGUGGGGUGACGUCAGGAGACUGGGGCUAAGACCGGGUACGAGCUCCUUCUGCCUGGGUGGGGUUGGACAGUUUCGGUGGUUGGGGAUGGACGCGCGGCUUAUCAGCUGGUGGGGGGGGGAGUGGCUUACCCAGGCGUUGCUGGGUAGCCGGCCUGAGAGGGUGACCGGCCCCAUUGGGACUGAGAUACGGCCCAGACUCCUACGGGAGGCAGCAGUGGGGAAUAUUGCACAAUGGGCGGAAGCCUGAUGCAGCAACGCCGCGUGCGGGAUGACGGCCUUCCGGUUGUAAACCGCUGUCGCCUGUGACGAAGCGUGAGUGACGGUAAUGGGUAAAGAAGCACCGGCUAACUACGUG
rnacentral:rRNA from 1 species